rnacentral:snoRNA from 9 species
UGGCAACUAUGAUGAAAGAUUCAGUCUGUAUGUAAUGUCUUGUUACUAAAUGAAGACAACAGUCCCUCUAAACUGAUGUUGCCA